rnacentral:rRNA from 1 species
GUAAGGAAUAUUGGACAAUGGACGCAAGUCUGAUCCAGCCAUGCCGCGUGAAGGAUUAAGGUCCUCUGGAUUGUAAACUUCUUUUAUAAGGGACGAAAAAAGGCUUUUCUAAGUCGUCUGACGGUACCUUAUGAAUAAGCACCGGCUAACUCCGUGCCAGCAGCCGCGUUAAUACGGAGGGUGCAAGCGUUAUCCGGAUUCACUGGGUUUAAAGGGUGCGUAGGCGGGCAGGUAAGUCAGUGGUGAAAUCCUAAGGCUUAACGCUAGAACUGCCAUUGAUACUAUCUGUCUUGAAUAUUGUGGAGGUAAGCGGAAUAUGUCAUGUAGCGGUGAAAUGCUUAGAUAUGACAUAGAACACCUAUUGCGAAGGCAGCUUACUACGCAUAUAUUGACGCUGAGGCACGAAAGCGUGGGGAUCAAACAGGAUUAGAAACCCGGGUAGUCC